rnacentral:lncRNA from 1 species
UAUUGCAAUUUCUGGAUUAUUGUAUGAUGAUUUUUUGACUUUCCAUAUAUAGAAAAGAAAUAGAAAGAGAUAGACUAGAAACAAAAUUUGUUAUGUUAAUAAGUCCAAAGGGAUAUUAAAUGAAUGGAAUUGGGAUAUGGAUGGAAUAUAAUGAAAUAGAGCCACUUUGAGGUUCUCUCUGAAAUGAGGCAUGUAAGGGAGCCACUAUGAAGAAGUUUUGGGAGUUACGAAGGAAGCUUCAAGCUUAUAUUGGUCAUGGGUUCGGAACAAGAAUUGAACUCUAUGAGAUCGAAUCUCCUGUUGUUCCUCAGUAGCUCAGUGGUAGAGCGGUCGACUGUUAAUCGAUUGGUCAUAGGUUUGAAUCCUACUUAGGGAGAUUUGAUUGAUUCUGAGUUAAAGAAUUCAGAAUAAAGGGGCUUGCUUUGCCCGUUAACAAUAGGUAACCCAUUCCCUGUCUUUGUUUCUAUUGCAUUCUAUCUCAUCGUAUCACAUUCUGUCCUACGAGAUUAGAGAAUCACCAUCAAUACCUCGGUCUAGGUCCGAUAUAAUCCUUUGUUCCAUAGCCCUGGGGUGGGGCUAUUUACAACUAGCCAAUUAAGAAGUCUCAGAUGUACACUAGCACUGCAUCUUUGGUGUUACAUGUAUUGAUGGUGAUUCAUUAGAAGUAUAUAACUUAUAGAAACAUACAUGCCUAGUUGAGAUGGAAAUCAUAAUACCAUAAUGCUUUUCAAAUCCUCCUAGCCAUUAUCCUACUGCAAUAAUUCUUGCUAAGAAGAAUGCCCAUGUUGUGGCAAUUCCAUCCAGAAGGUAAUGGGUUACUACGGCACCUGGCGCAUUACCCCAAAGAUGUCCUAAAGUUCCUCCACUGAACUGUAGUACGGAAUCAUCCCCAAAGAUCUCGGUCAGAGCAGGCAUAUGCCAAAUAUGAAUACCUCCGGAAGCCACAGGUUGAACACCUGGUAAAGAGACCCAAUCUUGAGUGAAAUAAAUACCGCGACUUUGAUCUUGUUCAACAAAAUCAUCACGCAAUAAAUCAACAAAGCCCAAAGUUAUGUCUCUUUCACCUUCAAGUUUACCUACUACGGUACCAGCAUGAAUAUGAUCUCCACCAGACAUACGUAAUGCUUUUGCUAAUUCCCAGAAGUGGAUACCAUGAUUCUUCUUUCUAUCAAUAACCGCAUGCAUUGCACGGUGGAUGUGAAGAAGUAGACCAUUAUCUCAGCAAUAAUGAGCCAAGCUAGUAUUUACGGUGAAUCCCCUCAUUAAGUAGUUAUGCAUUACGAUUGGAACACCCAAUUCUCUAGCAAAUAUAGCUCUUUUCAUCAUUUCUUCACAUGUACCUACUGUAGCAUUCAAGUAAUGCCCUUUGAUUUCACCUGUUUCAGUCUGUGCUUUAAAAAGUGCUUCGGCACAAAAUAAGAAACUAUCUCUCCAAUGCAUAUAUGGUUGUGAGUUCACGUUCUCAUCAUCUUUGGUAAAAUCAAGUCCACCGUAAAGACAUUCAUAAACAGCUCUACCGUAGUUUUUAGCAGAUAACCCCAAUUUAGGUUUAAUAGUACAUCCCAACAGGGGACGACCGUACUUGUUCAAUUUAUCUGUUUCAACUUGGAUCCUAUGAGGCGGACCUUGGAAAGCUUUAAUAUAAGUAGUAGGGACUCGCAGAUCUUCUAGACGUAGAGCACACAGGGCUUUGAACCUAAAUACAUUACCUACAAUGGAAGUAAACAUGUUGGUAACGGAACCUUCUUCAAAAAGGUCUAAAGGGUAAGCUACAUAAGCAAUAUAUUGAUGUUUUACUCCAAUAACACGCUCGAUGCGGUAGCAUCACCCUUUGUAACGAUCAAGACUAGUAAGUCCAUCGGUCCAUACAGUUGUCCAUGUACCAGUAGAUGAUUUGGCAGCUACCGCGGCCCCUGCUUCUUUAGGUGGAACUCCAGGUUGAGGAAUUACUCGGAAUGCUGUCAAUAUAUCAGUAUCCUUGGUUUGGUACUCAGGAGUCUAAUAAGUUAAUUUGUACUCUUUAACACCAGCUGUGAAUCCAACACUUGCUUUAGUCUCUAUUUGUGGUGACAUAAAUCCCUCCCUACAACUCAUGAAUUAAGAAUUCUCACAACAACAAGGUCUACUCGACACGAAUUACGCGUUAAUGAAACUUUUCACAGGAAUCUUUCAGAAAAUUUCCAACUAAUACUAAUAUUAUCAAUUAAUCAGAAUGGUUGAUUAUUAGACCAUGGUAUUUGAUUUGCCAAAUACAUCAUUAUUGUAUACUCUUUCAUAUAUAUAGCGCAACCCAAUUUUGAUUUUUUACCUUUUUUUUUGAAAUGGAAAUACCUAACUAAACUAAAUAAUAAGAACUUCCCCCUUGACAGUGGUAUAUGUUGUAUAUGUAAAUCCUAAAUGUGAAAAUAUAUGGAAUUCCGCUAUGAAAGGUAUAAAAAAGAAAGAAAAACGCAAAGAAAAGAAUAGGCUAGGCAUAAAUCAAUAUGCUGAAAUUUAACUAAAAAAUAAAUAAGAAAAAUAAGAAGAGGAGCCCAUUAGAUCCAAAUAGUGAAUCGUAAUAGAAAUAUAAAAUAAAGUUCAGGUUCGAAUUCCAUAGAAUAGAUAAUAUGGAUGGGAUUGUCUAUAAUGAUAGACAAAUGAAAGACUUUCUCAAGAUUCUGAUUCAUCCACUUGAGAUUUUUAAAUUAAAAUAGGUUGGGUGAGCUUGCAAAUUAACUCAAUCUCAUUGAAUAAGUAAACAAUUGAAUUGGUUCAAUUGCAUGGUGCCAACGAAAUUGAGUGCUAAUUCCCAUUUUAUUGAAUUAACCGAUCGACGUACUAGCGGACAUUUACUUUGAAUUCGAUAAUUUUUGAAAAAACAUUUUGACAUAUUUAUUUAUUUUAUUAUUAUAAGAAUCAAUCCUACUAAUUAUGGUUCUGGGGUUUCCACACUUGAAAAAAAAAACUGGGGUGUGUCGUCCAAAUCAUCGGUCUGGUACUAGAUGUAGCCUUUCCUCCGGGCAAGAUGCCAAAUAUUUAUAACGCUCUCGUAGUUCAAGGGCGAGAUAGUAUUGGUAAACCAAUUAAUAUGGCUUGUGAGGUACAACAAUCAUUAGGAAAUAAUCAAGUUAGAGUUGUAGCUAUGAGUGCUACAGACGGUUUAAUGAGAAAAAUGGAAGUGAUUGACACAGAAGCUCCUAUAAGUGUUCCGAUCGGAGGGGCAACUCUGGGAUGAAUUUUUAACGUGCUCGGAGAGAUGUUGUUAAUUUAAGGCCUGUAGAUACCAGUACAACAUCUCCUAUUCAUAGAUCUACGCCCGCCUUUAUACAGUUGGAUACAAAAUUAUCUAUUUUUCAAACAGGAAUUAAAGUAGUAGAUCUUUUAGGCCCUUAGCGUCGUGGAGGAAAAAUUGAACUAUUCAGGGGAGAUGGAGUGGGUAAAACAGUACUCAUUAUGGAAUUGAUUAACAAUAUUGCUAAAUCUCACGGGGGCGUAUCUGUAUUUGGCGGAGUGGGUGAACGUACUCAGGAAGGAAAUGAUCUUUACACGAAAAUGAAAGAAUCUGGAGUGAUUAAAGAAAAAAAUAUUGCGGAAUCAAAAGUGGCCGUAGUUUAUAGUCAGAUGAAUGAACCACCAGGAGCUCGUAUGAGAGUUGGUUUGACUGGCCUAACUAUGGCGGAAUAUUUCUGAGAUGUUAAUGAGCAAGAUGUACUUCUAUUUAUUGACAAUAUCUUCCGUUUCGUCCAAGCAGGAUCCAAAGUAUCAGCCUUAUUGGGUAGAAUGCCUUCCGCUGUGGGUUAUCAACCGACCCUAAGUACUGAAAUGGGUUCUUUACAAGAAAGAAUUACUUCUACCAAAGAAGGGUCCAUAACCUCUAUUCAAGCAAUUUAUGCACCCGCAGACGAUUUGACCGACCCUGCUCCUGCUAAGACAUUUGCACAUUUAGAUUCUACUACCAUACUAUCAAGAGGAUUGGCUGCCAAAGGUAUUUAUCCAGCAAUAGAUCCUUUAGAUUCAACAUCAACCAUGCUUCAACCUCAGAUCAUUGGUGAGAAACAUUACGAAACCGCCCAACGAGUUAAGCAAACUUUACAACGUUACAAAGAAAUUCAGGACAUUAUAGCUAUCCUUGGAUUGGAUGAAUUAUCUGAAGAGGAUCAUUUACUCGUAGCAAGAGCAUAAAAAAUUGAGCGUUUGUUAUCACAACCCUUUUUCAUAGCAGAAGUAUUUACUGGUUCUCUAGGGAAAUAUGUUGGUCUAGCAAAAACAAUUUGAGGAUUUCAAUUGAUCCUUUCCGAAGAAUUAGAUGGUCUUCCUGAACAGGCUUUUUAUUUGGUAGGUAAUAUCGAUGAAGCUACCGUGAAGGCUAUGAACUUAGAAAUGGAGAGCAAUUUGAAGAAAUAACCUUAAAUCUUAGUGUACUGACUCCUAAUCGAAUUGUUUGGGAUUCAGAAGUGGAAGAAAUCGUGCUAUAUACUAAUAGUGGUAAAAUUAGCAUAUUACCAAAUCACGCCCCUAUUGCCACAGUUGUAGAUAUAGGGAUUUUGCGAAUACGCCUUAACAACCAAUGGUUAACGAUGGCUCUGAUGGGUGCUUUUACUAGACUAGGCAAUAAUGAGAUCACUGUUUUAGUAAAUGAUGCAGAUAAGGGUAGUGACAUUGAUCCACAAGAAGCUCAGCAAACUCUUGAAAUAGCGGAGGCUAAUGUGAAAAAGGCUGAAGGAAGGAGACAAUAAAUUAAGGCAAAUCUAGCUCUCCGAAGAGCUAGAACACGGGUGGAGGCUAUCAAUCUGAUUUCAUAACAAGUUAGUACGACUAGUUAGUACAUUCGAAUAAUAAAAAGAAGUUCUUUUUCUAAUCCUAUUUAGAUUCUGUCGGGUGAAUACAAUCAAAUACAAUCAAACAGAAGCCAAUUCUGAUGCAAAAAUUCAAAUUUAAAAAUGAAAUAGAAAAGAUACAAAAUCAAAAAAUAAAUAUCACUAAAGGUGGGUUGUAACCCAUAUUAGAUACCAUUGACUCUGGUAUCUAAUAAGUUUUACCUACUAUUAGAUUUGAACCAAUGACUCCCUCCGUAUGAAAGCAGUACUCUAACCACUGAGUUAAGUAGGUCAUUUAUCAUUCCAAAGAGAACCAAACGAAACCCAUCCUGUCGAUGGAUUAUAAAUAUCAUAUUACUUAUAAGCAAUACUAAUCUAAUAAGCAAUACUAAUCUAAGGAAUACCACUCAAAGAGAUCAAAGAUUGUUGAUGUUGGAUCAUGGAAUAUUUAUCUUGACAAGAAUUUAUCUACAUGAUAAAAUAUGUAUCACAAGCACUAAGGGCUAUAGCUCAGUUGGUAGAGCAACUCGUUUACACGCGCGCCAAUGUUUUUCAAGGGAGUUCAUCAUACAAUCAGAAAAAUCGAUCUUGUUGAGAAAUCGAUGUCUUACUCCAUAACUUUGAGGGAACCAUAGCCUGACAAAGGGUUCGGUCCAAUUUGGACGUCCAUUUAGGAGGUGCCAAACAGACCCCAUCAUUGAUUUGAGAUCUUGAUAAGGUGAAUACCCAGUCUAUUCAAUGCUAGGCAUAAUGAGAGUAUAAGGACCUCAAAAAAAUCUCUUUUCGUCAUAUGAACUUUAAGGUGUAUGAAGUUUCAUAUUUGAUUUUUUAAGCAGAAACGAUAGAGACUUCAUUUAACUUAGGUUUAUUUACGCCAGAGAUAGACCUACGUCAAGAUAAUCCCACCUUUGAAACACUUUAGUAAUGCUCCCAAAUAAUGAAUCAGAGCAUGUGGAGCCAUUUCCAAAGUAAGUUACUUCUUCUCAGUACUUCAACUGAGAUAAUGAAAAAUUAUUUCACCUUUUUAGUUCUUUUUAGUUGGAACUUUAGGCGGUUCUCGAAAAAAGAUAGCAAAAAUUUUUUUCCCUAAAGUCGAUACUAAGAGGAAUGUAUAAACCAAUGCUUCCAUAGAUUCGAUCGUGGUUUACAAUUAUAGCUUUCAUACCUGUUUGUUUCUUUUUAUUUUCUUUUUUAUCAUCUUCCAGAUAAAGAACGAACAAGAGUAAAAAUGAAGUUGAUUCAAAUAAAGAUUUCACUGGUAUCCUAUGUCAAUAAAAGUAAAAGAAAGAAAAUAAGGGAAAAAGAAAGAUACCAAAGCAAUGUUGUAUCAGGCUCCCUAUCUUUUUGUAGUUGGAUCUCCAAGUUUUUGGAAUGCCCCAAAUUCGACUUGAGCAUCUAAAUCUGGGUCAAUACCAGCAAAAACAUCUCUGAACAAGGUUCUAGCACCAUGCCAAAUGUGUCCGAAGAAGAAGAGCAAAGCAAACGAAGCAUGCCCAAAAGUAAACCAACCCCUUGGACUGCUACGAAAAACACCAUCAAAUUUCAAAGUAGCACUAUCUAAUUCAAAAAUUUCACCCAAUUGAGGACGUCUAGCAUAUUUUUUCAUAGUAGCAGGAUCACUAUAACUGACGCCAUUGAGUUCACCGCCAUGGAACUCAAUAGUUACACCUACUUGUUCAACACUAUACUUCAAUUCUGCCCUUCUAAAAUGAACAUCGGCCCUAACAAUUCCAUCACCAUCUACUAAAACAACCAAAAAUGUUUCAAAAAAGUAGGCAUACGACGUACAAAAAGUUCACGCCCUUCUUUAUUCUAAAGAUAGGGUGUCCUAACCAUCCAACUGCUAUUCCAUCCCCGUUAUCCAUUGAACCUACUUUGAAUAAUCCUCCUUUUGCUGGAUUAUUGCCGAUGUAAUCAUAAAAAGCUAAUUUUUCAGGAAUUCUAGACUAGGCUCCUGAUAAACUUUGACUUUUUACUAGCCCAGCACUAACUCUUUGAUAUAUUUCUUGCUGGAAGUACCCCUGAUCCUAUUAAUAUCGAGUGGGCACAAAUAAUUCAAUCGGGGUAGUUGCCGAACCAUACCACAUAGUUUCGGCAACAACAAAAGCUGUAAAAAAGACAGCAGCAAUACUACUGGAAAGGACGGUUUCAAUAUUUCCCAUACAUAAUCCUUUGUAUAGACGUUGUGUUGGAUGGACGCUAAAAUGGAAUAGGCCUGCUAAUAUGCCCAAUGUUCCUACUGCAAUGUGAUGAGAGGCUAUUCCUCCUGGAACAAAAGGAUCAAAACCUUCCACGCCCCACGCUGGAUUUACAGGUUGUACUUUUUCCGUUAGUCCAUAAGGAUCGGACACCCAUAUUUUGAGACUAUACAAGCCUGUUACAUGAAAUGCACCAAAACCAAAGAAAGCUACCCCUGAGAGAAAUAAAUGAAUUCCAAAGAGGGUUUUCCUGUACGUUUAUCACAAAAUAUUUCUAGAUCCCAAUACACCCAAUGCUAGAUAGCUGCCAAAAAGCAUAAGCCAAAAAACACAAUAUGUGCUCCUGCUACACCUUCAUAACUCCAAAUACCCGAAUUCGUUAUAGUCCCCCCUGUGAUACUCCAACCGCCUCAUGAAUUGGUUAUUCCUAAAUGAGUCAUGAAGGGUAUAACGAACAUAACCUAUCUCCAUAUUAGAUCAAUAACAGGAUCAGAAAGAUUAAAAACCGCUAAUUCAUACAGAGCCAUCGAACUGGCCCAACCAGCAACCAGAGUUGUAUGCAUUAUAUUAACAGAAAGUAAUCAACCGGGAUCAUUUAAUACAAUGGUACGAACAUGAUACCAAGGCAAACCCAUGGAAAUACCUCUUAUAUCAAAGAUAAAUGGACACUACGUAACUUUAUUGCAUUGGAAAAGACUAUAAUAUGACUAUCCUAUGGACCACUCUUGUUCAGUCGAUUAUUUCUGAAUCAAGGGUGUUCUAUUCUAGUGUUAAUAAUGGAACAAUUCUAUUUGUAGGAACAAAGAGAAGUAGAUUUAUUAAAUACUCGAUAAGUACCAAUACACAAUGGGGGAGUUGAUCUCAUUUUCUAUGAGAGAAUGAGUCCAUACAUAUUUAUCAUUAGAAAGACCUAUACAUAAUAAUUUGAGUUUAUUCAUUCUAUCUUUAUUUAUGAAUUUUUAGAAUCUAUGGAUAAAAUAAAUAUGAUAAGAACCAAUAUGAAUAUUCUAAAGACAAUAAAAAAAUUGUUACGUUUCCACCUCAAAGUGAAAUAUAGUAUUUAGUUCUUUCUUUUAUUUAAUGCCUAUUGGUGUUCCGAAAGUUCCCUUCCGAGGUCCUGGAGAGGCAAAUCCACUUUGGGUUGACGUAUAGUAUGACUUGUCAGAUAUAUUGGGUCAUAUGGUAUUUCCCCGUUCUCUCCCCCGAUCAAGAUAUCCCCCGUUUUGCCCAAAAAUGAUAAAACGAUAAAUUGAAUCAUAAAAAAUUUGGAGCGUGAAGUGCAAUUAGAUCCAUUUUUUAGGGGAUUCAUAUUACUAUUAUCAAUUAGAAUAAUUUAUGGUUGGUUUGGUUGGACUAAAAAAAUGAAGUAUCUAGGCUCCGUUUAGAAAAAACCUAAUUGGAUUGGUAAGAUAUCUAUGAUUGCUAUUCAUAUUUUUUCUUUGUAAUUUGUAAAGAGAUCCUAAUUGUCAAGCAAAGUUAUCUCAACUCUAAUAAAUACUUGUAUAAAAUAAAUUGAAAAAAAAAAAGAAAUACAAAAAGAAAUGGUAAUGGGAGCAUUUGUCCUAUAUGUACAAAUCCAAAUCGGGCGGAUCUUUACCCGGAGUAGAGCAUAAACCUAAAAAGAUGAAACAGACCCAUUCAGGAACAAGAAAAUACCAUCGCGGUUUGGAUUAAAUCUCGAUGAAAGAAUACAUCAAUGAGAAGUUAAUUCGAUAAGUUUAAUGACCCUUUCUUAUAACUUCUAAUUUUAUACUGGAAAAUCGAAAAUAGAAAUAUAAAAAAGGAGUCAAAACUCCUCUUUAUUGAAAAAUCGAAGAAAAACCCUUUCGUUAGAAGUAAGAAAGAACCUUUCUAGAAAUAAAGAAAGAGGACUGG